rnacentral:misc_RNA from 1 species
AAGUCGUAACAAGGUCUCCGUAGGUGAACCUGCGGAGGGAUCAUUACCGAGUUUACAACUCCCAAACCCCUGUGAACAUACCUAUACGUUGCCUCGGCGGAUCAGCCCGCGCCCCGUAAAAAGGGACGGCCCGCCAGAGGACUAUCAAACUCCAGUCAGUAAACGUUGCAGUCUGAAAAAAAUAUUAAAUAAACUAAAACUUUCAACAACGGAUCUCUUGGUUCUG